rnacentral:misc_RNA from 1 species
CGGAUAAAACUAUGAAUGAUACAAGUGCAAAUAAUUUUCCCGGCAGUUUGUGAGGUAACGAAUGAAACCUGCUAUUGUGCCUUCUAGUUUAGUGCGCCCCUGUCACCUGCUCCUCUCUCUUGCAGGGCUGCUCGCAGGAAGUCUUUAAGAUGACUGAUGAUGCAAGUGAUUUAUUGUUCCAAGAGGAAGAACUUCUUUCUAAACACCGCAGAGAGAAAAAAGAGCUUCAAGCACAAAUUCAGCAGCUAAAGAAGUCAACCAACAAAGAUAAGAAGAAAAAGAAAGAGGCACUGGAGGAUAUAGCAAAAUUAGAAAAGGAACUGAAGGACCGACAUGAAGAGGAACUAACCAGGUUUAAACCACCACAGGAGGUGGACACUGUGAGUAAUGGUGUGGACUCGUUAAACCUUUCUGAUGAUGGGUCUGGCGAGUCGCAGCCUGUAAACGAAGAGGAGGAACCUAACCUGCUAGAGCAGGAUCAAGGAAAACGAAUAAGCAAGGCAGAGAAGCGUCGUCAAAAAAAGGCCGAGGCUAUCCGGGAGCGAGAGGCACGGAUUCGAGAGGAGGAAGCCAAUAACAAGUACAGUGCACGGAACAUCGAGGCAGAGAAGCUGAAGCACUUGCUGCGUGAGAGGAAACUGAAAAUGCACGAGAUUAAACCUGAUGGCAAUUGUAUGUACGCUGCUAUUGCUCAUCAGAUGGGAGGCAACGCAACAGUUCCAUGGCUGCGGUCACAAGCUGGUCACUUUAUCCGUACAAAUUAUGAGGCCUUUGCACCUUUCAUAACUGACCCUAAGACUGGAGAAAGCUUGACGCCUCAACAGUUUGCAGAGUACUGCUCUCAAGUUGAACAUACACCAUCAUGGGGUGGCCAGCCUGAGCUUCGUGCCCUGUCUCAAGUGAUGCAGAGAAAGAUUGAAGUAUUGCAGGCGGAAGGUACGCCAGUUAUAUUUGGUGAAGAGUGCACUGACAAAAAGACCAUCCUGCUGGCAUAUUAUCGUCACUCUUAUGGUCUUGGAGAGCACUACAACUCAGUCACUGAUCUUAACUCAGUGCCAGAAGAACAGUCAAGAUAAUGCAACAACUUUAAGAUAUAUUAGUGUAUUGUAUCCUAACUACAGUAGGUUAUCAACAUAUUAAAGAAUAUCACAUUAUCCAAUACAGUAUAAAAUAUUUAUGUAACAAUUCAAUAUGUAUGUAAAUACAGUACAGUAUACAGAGAAUGGCACAGUAACAUGGCUGAAACAAUAACCCAUUCCACACACGAAAUGAAAGUGAUGACAUUUCGAUCCAUUCUGGACCCUUAACAAGUUGUAACUGAGCAAGAGCGGGAGAGGCAGUCAAUAAAAGGUAAGAGGGAAGGUGAGGAGUAAGUGGAGAAGUAAAGCACACAAACUAGACUAACAUUAGAACAUGAGACUAAGAUACUGCAGUAGGCCUAUUGGCUCAGUUUCCAUACUUUACUCCUACAUAUACACAUCAUCAUCUGUAACCUCAUCUUCCCUCCCUUGUCUUAUAUUGACUACCUCUUCCACUUAUGCUCAUUUAUAACUUGAUCUUUUGGUCCACCCUGGACCCUUAGCUUUAAUUUCAUGUGCAGGUUUUGGGCUAUAGUAUACAUUUAUUUUUUACGAGUUUGGUUACGAUGCUGCCUCUGGAAGGUUUAAGUCACAAGUGAGAUUUUAUAUUAUUUUAAAAUAGUUCCUAUGUUUAUGCUUCACUACUUAACAGUUUAGUUAUGCAUCUCCCUGGGGUUUGGCAAAUGUUCUUUAUGAUAAUAGCCUGGUUACCUAUAUUUAUUUAUUUAUUUAUUUUUACUACUGUUAGCUCUUGCCUCAUAGCUUAAGAAUGAUUUAAUAAUUUAAUUUCAUAUUUGAAACACUAACAAGAUAUUGGUACAGUAUAAUUUCCUGUUUCUAUUCAUUUUUGGGUGUGGAGUUUCCUGGCGAGUGUUUUAGGAACUAAUUUUGUAAACAAAGUGGUCUCCAUUUCUAGAUAUUGACAACAAGAAAUUGAUUAAUAUUCUGCUCAUUCACCCUUGCAAAAUACUGUAUAAUCUAAAUUGAAUUUCUAAGUCUCUAAAAUGAUCUGUUUGAAAUUGUAAUACUUUAAGGUUUCACAAUUCAUUUUUUGAAUGAUAUCUGAAGUAUACCAUCUCUGUGUUGUUUCAAAUAUUGUAUAUCUCUCAUCUUGAGGUUAUAUAAUUGACAAUUAUUUUGAAAUAUUAUGCUAAUGGCUUUUCCCGCCUGAUAGCGACUUGGGUUGUAUAUGAAGAUAUCCUUAGACAAGUCACCAUGAGAUGUAUCCAGAGAUUUGUAACAAUAAUAGGCAUUGAUAAUAGCUCUAUACUGAUGAAAAGGAAUACUAAAGAGAUUUACUAUUAUUUUUUAUAAAAAUGAGAUUGAAAUAUCAAAUUUUGAAAAUUUUAACUAAAUCAGAUUGAAAUGCAAUUGCUGAUUGAAAAGUUUGUGAUUGUUUAUAAUAACGUAAGCUAAUAUCAAUAUUAUUACUGUAUUUAAAGAGGCUAUUGUUGGAUUUUAAGGAAAUGUAACUUAUUUUUUAGAUGUUUGUAAAUAUUUAAAGAAAAUCAGAUUGAAAUAUAAGUAUGGCAGGAAAAUGUACUUUGAGCAGCCAUUUAGUUUAGUUCAUUUAUUAUGAACCCCAUACCAAUCUUGUGGGCAGUAGGCCAUGAAGCUUUGAUUAAAUCCAAGAGGUUUUACGAAGGGAGACAAGAGGUGGGAAAAGCCACUUUGCUUUUCACGAGCCAUCGAGUGAUCCAUGAUGACCUACCAGACGUAGGUAACCUCCCCAGACCCAUGGUGACCUACCAGACAUAGGUAACCUCCCCAGACCCAUGGUGACCUACCAGACAUAGGUAACCUCCCCAGACCCAUGGUGACCUACCAGACAUAGGUAACCUCCCCAGACCCAUGGUGACCUACCAGACAUAGGUAACCUCCCCAGACCCAUAGUGACCUACCAGACAUAGGUAACCUCCCCAGACCCAUGGUGACCUACCAGACAUAGGUAACCUCCCCAGACCCAUAGUGACCCACCAGACAUAGGUAACCUCCCCAGACCCAUGGUGACCUACCAGACAUAGGUAACCUCCCCAGACCCAUGGUGACCUACCAGACAUAGGUAACCUCCCCAGACCCAUGGUGACCUACCAGACAUAGGUAACCUCCCCAGACCCAUAGUGACCUACCAGACAUAGGUAACCUCCCCAGACCCAUAGUGACCUACGAGACGUAGGUAACCUCCCCAGACCCAUAUUGACCCACCAAGUAUAGGUAACCUCCCCAGACCCAUGACCUACCAGACAUAGAUAACCUCCCCAGACCCAUGACCUACCAGACAUAGAUGACCUCCCCAGACCCAUGACCUACCAGACAUAUGUAACCUUCCCAGACCCAUAGUGACCUACGAGACGUAGGUAACCUCCCCAGACCCAUGACCUACCAGACAUAGAUAACCUCCCCAGACCCAUGACCUACCAGACAUAGAUAACCUCCCCAGACCCAUGACCUACCAGACAUAGAUGACCUCCCCAGACCCAUGACCUACCAGACAUAUGUAACCUUCCCAGACCCAUGGUGACCCAUCAAGUAUAGGCAACCUCUCUGAAGACCCGGCAGGCACAAAAAAUCUCCAAAUUAUCCAAAUUUCAACUUUGUGACUGCUAAUCUUUAUUCAACAUACAAAACUAUGAUUAAACUAAAGAACAUGUAAAGUUUUAAGAAUAUUUAUACUCUUAACAUGCUUAUUAACUAGAUUUCAACUAAUAUAUCGUAUGUAUAAUUAAAUAAACAACUAUAAAAAAUAAA